ACGCUGGCGGCAUGCUUUACACAUGCAAGUCGGACGGCAGCACAGAGAAGCUUGCUUCUUGGGUGGCGAGUGGCGAACGGGUGAGUAAUAUAUCGGAACGUACCGAGUAAUGGGGGAUAACUAAUCGAAAGAUUAGCUAAUACCGCAUAUUCUCUGAGGAGGAAAGCAGGGGACCUUCGGGCCUUGCGUUAUUCGAGCGGCCGAUAUCUGAUUAGCUAGUUGGUGGGGUAAAGGCCUACCAAGGCGACGAUCAGUAGCAGGUCUGAGAGGAUGAUCCGCCACACUGGGACUGAGACACGGCCCAGACUCCUACGGGAGGCAGCAGUGGGGAAUUUUGGACAAUGGGCGCAAGCCUGAUCCAGCCAUGCCGCGUGUCUGAAGAAGGCCUUCGGGUUGUAAAGGACUUUUGUCAGGGAAGAAAAGGCUGUUGCUAAUACCGACAGCUGAUGACGGUACCUGAAGAAUAAGCACCGGCUAACUACGUGCCAGCAGCCGCGGUAAUACGUAGGGUGCGAGCGUUAAUCGGAAUUACUGGGCGUAAAGCGAGCGCAGACGGUUACUUAAGCAGGAUGUGAAAUCCCGGGCUCAACCUGGGAACUGCGUUCUGAACUGGGUGACUAGAGUGUGUCAGAGGGAGGUAGAAUUCCACGUGUAGCAGUGAAAUGCGUAGAGAUGUGGAGGAAUACCGAUGGCGAAGGCAGCCUCCUGGGAUAACACUGACGUUCAUGCUCGAAAGCGUGGGUAGCAAACAGGAUUAGAUACCCUGGUAGUCCACGCCCUAAACGAUGUCAAUUAGCUGUUGGGCAACUUGAUUGCUUAGUAGCGUAGCUAACGCGUGAAAUUGACCGCCUGGGGAGUACGGUCGCAAGAUUAAAACUCAAACGAAUUGACGGGGACCCGCACAAGCGGUGGAUGAUG
rnacentral:rRNA from 1 species